CUUUUCUGAGUGGUAAGCUGUCCUCCAGCUUCUUUGUGGCACUUUUUUCAUUAUUAUCUAACCAGGAGCUACAUGGGUAAGAGAUGCGAGCUACCGAUGUUGCGCCCCUGGAGCUACAAGUGUGGCGCAAUCAACAGGAGAGCUCUGCCUUUGAUCGGGAGAUUAAGCCUGAUCACGCAGCAAACUGCUCCCGCGUUCUCCCUGCUGCUGCGAGCUUCCGCGAGGAUGAAAGGAGCCGCACCGCUAUCACCUCAGUGAUGCUUCUGUCAGGCGGUGAUUUACUCUGCCGGCACCCUGGCUGUGAAACGGGGAUAGGCAAAUCUCCGGACUGAAGACAAGGGCCACUGUCUUUUUCCUAAGGCUGAGAGGAAGUGACUGACUCAAUCUAACGCAUCUCACUUCAUGCAUAAAUCAGGAUCAGAACUCAUGGUAUUCCAGUUUCUCACAAUUUUUAGCCUGAUACAUUCAUUUUUACACUAGUCUGAUUUAUCCAAUCUGUUUUAUCUAUAAAUACAUAUAUAUGUUCCGAAAACAUGAUUAAAAGAAUAAUCUUUAUCUCUUACAAAAGGACGUCUCUUUUAAAUAGAUAGGCCAUAGUUUAAUAGUAAACAAUUUGCACAUGUUUUGUGUGUGGAAAAUACUACAUUACAAUAUCGAUUUCAGAUUAACAAUCUACUAGUUGAGCACAGACUUCAGUUAACCUAGAAGUAGUAAAUAGUGCAGUCUUAGGUAUGUUCAAAAUUCAGAUUUGUUUAAAUACAUAGAAUUCUAUCUCAAAAAAAUAGAAGUA